rnacentral:rRNA from 1 species
CCUACGGGGCGCUGCAGUGAGGAAUAUUGGUCAAUGGACGCAAGUCUGAACCAGCCAUGCCGCGUGCAGGAAGACGACUCUAUGAGUUGUAAACUGCUUUUGUACGAGGGUAAACGCAGAUACGCGUAUCUUUCUGAAAGUAUCGUACGAAUAAGGAUCGUCUAUCUCCGUGCCAGCAGCCGCGGUAAUACGGAGGAUUCAAGCGUUAUCCGGAUUUAUUGGGUUUAAAGGGUGCGUAGGCGGUCGGAUAAGUUAGAGGUGAAAUCCCGAGGCUCAACUGCGGAAUUGCCUCUGAUACUGUUCGGCUAGAGAGUAGUAGCGGUAGGCGGAAUGUAUGGUGUAGCGGUGAAAUGCUUAGAGAUCAUACAGAACACCGAUUGCGAAGGCAGCUUACCAAGCUACUUCUGACGUUGAGGCACGAAAGCGUGGGGAGCAAACAGGAUUAGAUACCCCUGUAGUC